rnacentral:rRNA from 1 species
GUACGACGGAGCACGUGAAAUUCCGUCGGAAUCUGGGAGGACCAUCUCCUAAGGCUAAAUACUCUCUAGUGACCGAUAGUGAACCAGUACCGUGAGGGAAAGGUGAAAAGCACCCCGGAAGGGGAGUGAAAUAGAACCUGAAACCGUGUGCUUACAAGUAGUCAGAGCCCGUUAAUGGGUGAUGGCGUGCCUUUUGUAGAAUGAACCGGCGAGUUACGAUUUGAUGCAAGGUUAAGCAGUAAAUGUGGAGCCGUAGCGAAAGCGAGUCUGAAUAGGGCGUUUAGUAUUUGGUCGUAGACCCGAAACCAGGUGAUCUACCCUUGGUCAGGUUGAAGUUCAGGUAACACUGAAUGGAGGACCGAACCGACUUACGUUGAAAAGUGAGCGGAUGAACUGAGGGUAGCGGAGAAAUUCCAAUCGAACCUGGAGAUAGCUGGUUCUCUCCGAAAUAGCUUUAGGGCUAGCCUCAAGUGAUGAUUAUUGGAGGUAGAGCACUGUUUGGACGAGGGGCCCCUCUCGGGUUACCGAAUUCAGACAAACUCCGAAUGCCAAUUAAUUUAACUUGGGAGUCAGAACAUGGGUGAUAAGGUCCGUGUUCGAAAGGGAAACAGCCCAGACCACCAGCUAAGGUCCCAAAAUAUAUGUUAAGUGGAAAAGGAUGUGGCGUUGCCCAGACAACUAGGAUGUUGGCUUAGAAGCAGCCAUCAUUUAAAGAGUGCGUAAUAGCUCACUAGUCGAGUGACACUGCGCCGAAAAUGUACCGGGGCUAAACAUAUUACCGAAGCUGUGGAUUGUCCUUUGGACAAUGGUAGGAGAGCGUUCUAAGGGCGUUGAAGCAUGAUCGUAAGGACAUGUGGAGCGCUUAGAAGUGAGAAUGCCGGUGUGAGUAGCGAAAGACGGGUGAGAAUCCCGUCCACCGAUUGACUAAGGUUUCCAGAGGAAGGCUCGUCCGCUCUGGGUUAGUCGGGUCCUAAGCUGAGGCCGACAGGCGUAGGCGAUGGAUAACAGGUUGAUAUUCCUGUACCACCUAUAAUCGUUUUAAUCGAUGGGGGGACGCAGUAGGAUAGGCGAAGCGUGCGAUUGGAUUGCACGUCUAAGCAGUAAGGCUGAGUAUUAGGCAAAUCCGGUACUCGUUAAGGCUGAGCUGUGAUGGGGAGAAGACAUUGUGUCUUCGAGUCGUUGAUUUCACACUGCCGAGAAAAGCCUCUAGAUAGAAAAUAGGUGCCCGUACCGCAAACCGACACAGGUAGUCAAGAUGAGAAUUCUAAGGUGAGCGAGCGAACUCUCGUUAAGGAACUCGGCAAAAUGACCCCGUAACUUCGGGAGAAGGGGUGCUCUUUAGGGUUAACGCCCAGAAGAGCCGCAGUGAAUAGGCCCAAGCGACUGUUUAUCAAAAACACAGGUCUCUGCUAAACCGUAAGGUGAUGUAUAGGGGCUGACGCCUGCCCGGUGCUGGAAGGUUAAGAGGAGUGGUUAGCUUCUGCGAAGCUACGAAUCGAAGCCCCAGUAAACGGCGGCCGUAACUAUAACGGUCCUAAGGUAGCGAAAUUCCUUGUCGGGUAAGUUCCGACCCGCACGAAAGGCGUAACGAUUUGGGCACUGUCUCAACGAGAGACUCGGUGAAAUCAUAGUACCUGUGAAGAUGCAGGUUACCCGCGACAGGACGGAAAGACCCCGUGGAGCUUUACUGUAGCCUGAUAUUGAAAUUCGGCACAGCUUGUACAGGAUAGGUAGGAGCCUUUGAAACGUGAGCGCUAGCUUACGUGGAGGCGCUGGUGGGAUACUACCCUAGCUGUGUUGGCUUUCUAACCCGCACCACUUAUCGUGGUGGGAGACAGUGUCAGGCGGGCAGUUUGACUGGGGCGGUCGCCUCCUAAAAGGUAACGGAGGCGCUCAAAGGUUCCCUCAGAAUGGUUGGAAAUCAUUCAUAGAGUGUAAAGGCAUAAGGGAGCUUGACUGCGAGACCUACAAGUCGAGCAGGGUCGAAAGACGGACUUAGUGAUCCGGUGGUUCCGCAUGGAAGGGCCAUCGCUCAACGGAUAAAAGCUACCCCGGGGAUAACAGGCUUAUCUCCCCCAAGAGUUCACAUCGACGGGGAGGUUUGGCACCUCGAUGUCGGCUCAUCGCAUCCUGGGGCUGUAGUCGGUCCCAAGGGUUGGGCUGUUCGCCCAUUAAAGCGGUACGCGAGCUGGGUUCAGAACGUCGUGAGACAGUUCGGUCCCUAUCCGUCGUGGGCGUAGGAAAUUUGAGAGGAGCUGUCCUUAGUACGAGAGGACCGGGAUGGACAUACCUCUGGUGUACCAGUUGUCGUGCCAACGGCAUAGCUGGGUAGCUAUGUGUGGACGGGAUAAGUGCUGAAAGCAUCUAAGCAUGAAGCCCCCCUCAAGAUGAGAUUUCCCAACUUCGGUUAUAAGAUCCCUCAAAGAUGAUGAGGUUAAUAGGUUCGAGGUGGAAGCAUGGUGACAUGUGGAGCUGACGAAUACUAAUCGAUCGAAGACUUAAUCAA